rnacentral:rRNA from 1 species
AUGUACAUUCCUACAACAUAGCGUUAAUGCACUGGAUUCCAUUAGAACUCCGUAGUUAAGCGCACUUAGGUUAGAGUAGUACUGGGAUGGGUGACUGCCCGGGAAUUCCUACAGUUUUACAUG